rnacentral:rRNA from 1 species
GAUGAACGCUGGCGGCGUGCCUAAUACAUGCAAGUCGAGCGAACAGACGAGGAGCUUGCUCCUCUGACGUUAGCGGCGGACGGGUGAGUAACACGUGGAUAACCUACCUAUAAGACUGGGAUAACUUCGGGAAACCGGAGCUAAUACCGGAUAAUAUAUUGAACCGCAUGGUUCAAUAGUGAAAGACGGUUUUGCUGUCACUUAUAGAUGGAUCCGCGCCGCAUUAGCUAGUUGGUAAGGUAACGGCUUACCAAGGCAACGAUGCGUAGCCGACUUGAGAGGGUGAUCGGCCACACUGGAACUGAGACACGGUCCAGACUCCUACGGGAGGCAGCAGUAGGGAAUCUUCCGCAAUGGGCGAAAGCCUGACGGAGCAACGCCGCGUGAGUGAUGAAGGUCUUCGGAUCGUAAAACUCUGUUAUUAGGGAAGAACAAAUGUGUAAGUAACUAUGCACGUCUUGACGGUACCUAAUCAGAAAGCCACGGCUAACUGCGUG